GGGCCCGCACAAGCGGUGGAGCAUGUGGUUUAAUUCGAUGCAACGCGAAGAACCUUACCUACUCUUGACAUCCAGAGAAGCCAGCGGAGACGCAGGUGUGCCUUCGGGAGCUCUGAGACAGGUGCUGCAUGGCUGUCGUCAGCUCGUGUUGUGAAAUGUUGGGUUAAGUCCCGCAACGAGCGCAACCCUUAUCCUUGUUUGCCAGCGAGUAAUGUCGGGAACUCCAGGGAGACUGCCGGUGAUAAACCGGAGGAAGGUGGGGACGACGUCAAGUCAUCAUGGCCCUUACGAGUAGGGCUACACACGUGCUACAAUGGCGCAUACAGAGGGCGGCGAACUUGCGAGAGUGAGCGAAUCCCAAAAAGUGCGUCGUAGUCCGGAUUGGAGUCUGCAACUCGACUCCAUGAAGUCGGAAUCGCUAGUAA
rnacentral:rRNA from 1 species